AAAUAGUCCGAUACCACGGGAUGGGAGCGAAGGAGGGACGUCGAAGGGGAACUCAGCCUCUGAGUGGAUUGAGGUGCUAAGCGUAGUAGUCGAGGAAGGGGUAGGGAAAUCCGCCCUGGAGACGAAAGCGCGAGGGCGGGCCUUCGGGCCACAAGUGAGAGUACCCAAUGACCAAGAAAAGCUUCUAAGCGAUGAACAUCCGGUGACCGUACCGCAAACCGACACAGGUAGAUGGGUAGAAGAUACCAAGGCGAACGGGAGAACCCUCGUUAAGGAACUAGGCAAAAUGGCCCCGUAACUUCGGGAGAAGGGGCGCCCGCUGAGAGGCGGGCCGCAGUGAAAUGGCUCUGCCGACUGUUUAACAAAAGCACAGGUCUCUGCAAACGCGAAAGCGGCAGUAUAGGGGCUGACGCCUGCCCAGUGCCGGAAGGUUAAGGGGAGAGGUCAGGAGCAAUCUGAAGCUUUGAACCGAAGCCCCGGUGAACGGCGGCCGUAACUAUAACGGUCCUAAGGUAGCGAAAUUCCUUGUCGGGUAAGUUCCGACCCGCACGAAUGGCGUAACGAGUGGGGCACUGUCUCAACGAGGGACCCGGCGAAAUUGAAAUACGUGUAAAGAUGCGCGUUACCCGCAGCUGGACAAAAAGACCCCGUGGAGCUUUACUACAACUUGCUAUUGCGUUAGGGCUUGACUUGUGCAGGAUAGCUGGGAGACUGAGAAGCUGGCGCGUCAGCGUCGGUGGAGUCGUUGUUGAGAUACCAGCCUGGUGAAGUUUUGACCCUAACCCUGAGCCGUAAACCGGGCAGGGGACAGUGGCAGGUGGGUAGUUUGACUGGGGCGGUCGCCUCCGAAAAGGUAACGGAGGCGCCCAAAGGUGCCCUCAGGUUGAAUGGAAACCAACCGCAGAGUGUAAAGGCAGAAGGGCGCUUGACUGCGAGACAGACAGGUCGAGCAGAGACGAAAGUCGGGCUUAGUGAUCCCACGGUACCGAGUGGAAGGGCCGUGGCUUACCGGAUAAAAGCUACCCCGGGGAUAACAGGCUAGUCUGGUCCAAGAGUUCACAUCGACGACCAGGCUCGGCACCUCGAUGUCGGCUCAUCGCAUCCUGGGGCUGGAUCAGGUCCCAAGGGUCGGGCUGUUCGCCCGUUAAAGCGGUACGUGAGCUGGGUUCAGACCGUCGUGAGACAGGUCGGUCUCUAUCCGCUGUGGGCGUAAGGAGCUUGAGAGGGGCUGCCCCUAGUACGAGAGGACCGGGGUGGACGCAGCGCUCGUGUGCCGGUUGUCACGCCCGUGGCAUGGCCGGGUAGCGACCUGCGGCAAAGAUAACCGCUGAAAGCAUCUAAGCGGGAAGCUUGCCUCAAGAUGAGGCUCCUCACUGGAGAACCAGGUAAGACCGCUCGGAGACGACGAGCUUAAUAGGCCGGACGUGGAAGCGCAGCAAUGUGUGGAGCGAACCGGUACUAAUGGUCGC
rnacentral:rRNA from 1 species